UGUUGUUUCCUCGGCCUCUCUCUAUAACGCUGGAAGCUAUGGUAAGUGCGGGACGUUUAUUCAGCAAGACGGCGUCGCUUUGGUGGCGACCGGUAAAGUCAAGAACCAAAGCUUCUCCGACCAGCACUGCACUUUGUUCGACAUUGUGUAAAUCAUCAUCAUCAUCGAUAUCGACGAAGAGAGUCGGAACUCACGAUGGAAGCUUUCACUGCGACGAAGCUCUUGCCUGCUUCUUGCUUCGCCAAACCCACAAAUUCUCCGGCGCACGUGUCGUUCGCACACGCGACCCCCAGGUUUUGGACACAUUGGACGCGGUGGUCGACGUUGGGGGUGUUUACGACCCGACCCGAGACCGUUUCGAUCAUCACCAGAAAGGGUUCCACCAAGUUUUUGGUCAUGGCUUCACUACUAAUCUCAGUAGUGCUGGCCUUGUCUAUAAGCAUUAUGGGGUGGAGAUAAUUGCAAAGGAGCUUCAGCUUGAUGAGGGACACCCAGAUGUUUAUAGGUUGUUUCUAGCAGUGUAUAGGAAUUUUGUUGAGGCAGUUGAUGCUGUGGAUAAUGGAAUCAACCAAUAUGACACUGACCAACCUCCUAAAUAUGUGAACAAUACUAACUUAUCUUCAAGAAUUGGAGAAUUGAAUCUAGAUUGGAUGGAUCCUGAUCAGUCCUCCGAGAGAGAAAAUGAGGCCUUUCAAGGUGCCAUGACGCUUGCCGCCAAAGAAUUUUGUGAGACCCUUCAUUUCCAUGCAAAAUCAUGGUUACCGGCACGAGCAAUUGUAAGGGAGUGUCUUGCAGAAAGAGAAAAAUAUGAUCCAAGCGGAGAAAUCAUGGUGCUGACCAGGUCUUGUCCUUGGAAACUUCACAUAUUUGAGCUUGAGGAGGAAAUGAAGAUCGACCCUUCCAUCAAAUAUGUUAUUUACCAGGAUGACAGGAGUGAAAACUGGAGAGUUCAGGCAGUGGCAGUAUUCCCUGAUAAAUUUGAGAGUCGGAAACCUCUACCAUUUCUGUGGAGGGGUUUGGAAAAGGACGAACUCUCCAAGGUUGCUGGGAUCCCAGGCUGUGUUUUUGUUCACAUGAGCGGAUUUAUUGGUGGAAAUCGGUCUUUUGAAGGUGCUCUGGCUAUGGCAAGAAUGUCAUUGGAGUCCUAAGGUAGAAUCUUCUGGAUAUGUUGAGACACUCGAUUCACAGCAUUGCAUGUUGUGAGCUUGACUAACAUGAUUGGUAGUGGACCAGUUCUUCAGUCUUCCGCAACGGAUGGCAAAUCCUCUUUGAGCCAAGUGUAUAGGCCUCCUUCUAAAUGGAACACAUUGGUAUACCCAUUCAGUACCAGCAAGUAGGCCGCUGUCAGAGACCUGCAUAUGUAUAAUAUUAUCAAAAUCUGUAAGUUUAUGUAAUACAGCGUUUUUCUUUGUUUUUUUGACAGAAAUUUUCUAGUUAAGUUUGAUCACCUUGAUUGUUGACCUUCAGGGGGAUUCUGGGUUUGUUUCAUUGUACCUCCAGCAGAGCAAGCCACUAUUAUCUUUGCAUCUUUAUCUAAUUUUGAUUUCACACCUAUUAAUUAUCAUAUUAUAACAUCUUAGUUAUUUUGGAGUCUGCAAGUAUGAGAGAAAAUAUACACAUAUAUAGCAACAACUAUGAAAGAACAAGUAGGUUUCAACUUCAUACUUGGUAUGAAUUCUGGGUUUUCUUCUGUCCCAGCAAAGAUGCCAAAAAAUGCAAAUGCAGCUCGGCGAGCUAUGUCCCAUGCUGUCCAUUCUUUUAUAAGCCUGUAUAUUUGUAUGUUAAUGGCACCUGGUGGAUGAGCCUACAAAUAUCAGAAAAAAUUAGAUUUAAGUACACUUCUAUCUGAAUUUCUCUUCUGUUAGUUCAGAUGAAUAGAGGACUUUAUAAGAUAGACUAAAAACCAAGUAAGCAACCUCUUUAAAUUCUGCUUCAGGUCGCACAUCAAGAAUGACAAAGUUGUUUUCUUUCUGAAGUCUCAGAGCUUCCUUCACAUCUACACGCCUUGCCUGCGAAGAAGAAUGCUUAUGCUAUAUAUGGGGUUGAUCAAUGUUUAUGUUCCUAACUAAUCACAAUAAUCUCAUUGGUUUUCUUUCCUUCCUGAUCUCAUUAAUUUUCCUGGUGAGUUAUUCAUGAGCUUCAAAUCGUUGAACAAAACAAGAAUAUGAUAUUAAACUUGUUGUGAUUGAAGUUUGAUGUGUAUGUGCACAGAGAGAAACAGACACAAAAAAAAAAAAAAGAAAAAAAAAAAAAAGGGUCUAGAAUUAGCUUUACCCUUUUCUCUAGUAAAUAUGCUCUUUUAAUCUUCCAGUCUUCUUCAGCUAAACCCUCCAAAAGCAGAGAAGAAAAGAAGCCAAAAUGAGAGUUGAAUUAAUAAGAGAAUUCAAAUAUCAAAGAACAAUGAGAUUCUAAUAGAGUUAUGCCAGGUCCAGUUAAAGAAGGAAAAUGGUCAAACCGUAAUGGUCCCACUAUUCCAAAGUCAAGAAAACAUUGCUGGCAAGGAUUGUUGUUAAAUAUAAUCUCUAUAGAUCCAAUUCAAGGGAAGAAGGUCGAACACAACGGUGUCAAAGUUGAGCUCCUUGGUCAGAUAGAAAUGUACUUUGACAGAGGCAACUUUUAUGACUUGACUUCCCUUGUUCGUGAACUGGAUGUUCCUGGAGAAAUAUAUGAAAGAAAACGUAUCCCUUUGAAUUUUCUACUCUUGAAAUGCCAUAUGAGACAUAAAAUGGGGUGAAUGUGAGGCUUAGGUAUGUCCUGAAAGUCAUAAUAAGUCGUGGUUAUGCUGGUAACAUAGUGGAAUACCAGGAUUUUGUGGUUCGCAACUACUCCGCACCUCCAUCAAUUAACAAUAGUAUCAAGAUGGAAGUUGGAAUUGAAGACUGCCUACGUAUUGAAUUUGAGUACAACAAAAGCAGUAUCAUGUGAAAGAAAUUAUUGGCUAGAUCUAUUUUCUUCUUGUAAGAAUCAAGAUAAAAAAUAUGGAUCUGGAGAUUCUACAGGAGCAGGGGCCAAUACUCAUGUUGAGACUGAGACACUCGCUAAAUUUGAGUUGAUGGAUGGUGCCCCAGUGAGAGGUGAAUCAAUUCCAAUCAGACUUUUUCUUAGCCCUUAUGAACUGACACCAACCCAUCGCAUCAUCAAUAACAAAUUCAGUCUCAAAUAUUAUCUGAAUCUUGUUCUAGUUGAUGAAGAGGACCAGCGGUAAUUUAAGCGGCAGGAGAUCACUAUAUAUGGGCUCCAACCUUAGGGCAUGUUUUGCUGGUGGAAGUUUACUGUUUCUUUAUAAGAAGCUAUGGUGGCUUCUCUUAUUCUUGCGGACUUAUGGGUUUGAUAGGAGAUGGUUGCAAUAUGUACAUGGGCAAUGCACAGAGGCUGGGGAUGAUCUCUGGGAUUACAUUUAUGAACAGUGAUCAGAUACUGACUUUUUCACUUUGCAGAGAUUUUAGAGAAAAAGGAUUUGCAUUUUGUUUUCUAUUUUCUGCUGAAACUAUUUAUAGUUUAUGUUUUGAUAAUUGAAGAACAAAGGCUAAUACCCACAGAAAUUUUUCCUUGA